UACGAAGGGGGCUAGCGUUGCUCGGAAUUACUGGGCGUAAAGCGCACGUAGGCGGCUUUCUAAGUCGGGGGUGAAAUCCUGGAGCUCAACUCCAGAACUGCCUUCGAUACUGGAGCUUGAGUCCGGGAGAGGUGAGUGGAACUGCGAGUGUAGAGGUGAAAUUCGUAGAUAUUCGCAAGAACACCAGUGGCGAAGGCGGACUCACUGGCCCGGUACUGACGCUGAGGUGCGGAAAGCGUGGG
rnacentral:rRNA from 1 species